CAUGUAGAACUGCCUUUGGAAGUCUUGCGGACGCGGGUUCGAUUCCCGCCGGCUCCACCA
rnacentral:tmRNA from 1 species